CUAGAACUUAAAUAAUUUAUCCAGCAGGUGUUAAGAAAAUCUCAUGCAAGUUACUAUCAAACUUAUGACCAAAUCAGUGGCUGGUCAAAGCUGUUGGGCGGGAUUGUGUGAAUGAGCUGAUUUAUAGCUAGAUAACUAAUUUAUAGCAGGGCUUAUAUUUUCUGAAAAAUAGUGAUGAUACUUGAUCUGUGGUAACUGAAAAGAGGAAUUCCAGCAACCCAUCAAUUGGAAUAUGGGGACUUUUGGGGUUGAUGUCAAUGGAGGCAAAGAUAGAUCUUCAAGAGCUUAGCAGAAAUUGAGAGUAAAUAGAAAAACAACAAUCAAAUAAGAAAGAUAGAUGACCUAAAUUUUGCAUAAUUCUUUUCCUAGCAAUCUCUCAACAGAAUUUUUAGGCAUCACAAUGCAUGCCAAUAAGGGUUCACCAGAAUUGAACUCAAAAUUAAUUAAUGUCUUGUAGAAUUAUUAGCACAGCCUCAAGCCUAGUAUAUCCAAUCCUGCGUAAUCAAGCUUCUGUACAAUUUGAAUUUUAUGUAGCUUUUCUUGUCCAUGUGAAUCUACAUCAAAGUAUGCCAACUGUCUUGUAUUUAUCUGUAUCUAGACCUUAUCAGAAUGUUUUACCUGGGGCCUUUGCUGCAUUAAUUUUCUUUACUUAUUUUAAAUAUCAUAAUAUUAUUUUUUAUUUGAGCCUGUGCAGUUUGACACUUUUUGUUCCUGAUCUAAAUAUGGACAAGUGG
rnacentral:misc_RNA from 1 species